rnacentral:miRNA from 1 species
CAUAUGGCUGUGUAGCCUGAAC